UACGUAGGGUGCGAGCGUUGUCCGGAUUUAUUGGGCGUAAAGGGCGCGUAGGCGGCUCAUGAAGGCUGUGGUGAAAGUCCGGGGCUCAACCUCGGAUCGGCCGUGGCGACUCGUGGGCUGGAGCACUGUAGAGGCGGGUGGAAUUCCGGGUGGUAGCGGUGGAAUGCGUAGAGAUCCGGAAGAACACCAGUGGCGAAGGCGGCCCGCUGGGCAGUGGCUGACGCUGAGGCGCGACAGGCGUGGGGAGCAAACAGG
rnacentral:rRNA from 1 species